GGAACUGGGGCUAAUUCUCGAUAGGUGAAGAACACUGGAAUGUGUCUUUGCCUAAAGGCCGUCGGAUCAUGCUUUCGGCGGUGCCUAAGGAUGGGGCCGCGACCGAUCAGGUUGUUGGUGAGGUAAUGGCCCACCAAGCCUAUAACCGGUGCGGGCCGUGAGAGCGGGAGCCCGGAGAUGGGCACUGAGACAAGGGCCCAGGUCCUACGGGGCGCAGCAGUCGCGAAACCUUUGCAAUACACGCAAGUGUGACAGGGUCAUCCCGAGUGCCGACCGCUGAGGUUGGCUUUUACCCAGUCUAGAACGCUGGGGGAAUAAGGAGAGGGCAAGUCUGGUGUCAGCCGCCGCGGUAAUACCAGCUCUCCGAGUGGUGUGGACGUUUAUUGGGCCUAAAGCAUCCGUAGCUGGCUGAACAAGUCCCCUGUUAAACCCAACGAUUUAAUCGUUGGCUUGCGGGGGAUACUGCUCGGCUAGGGGACGAGAGAGGCAGACGGUAUUCCCGGGGUAGGGGUGAAAUCCUAUAAUCCCGAGAAGACCACCAGUGGCGAAGGCUGUCUGCUAGAACGCGCCCGACGGUGAGGGAUGAAAGCUGGGGGAGCGAACCGGAUUAGAUACCCGGGUAGUCCCAGCUGUAAACGAUGCAGGCUAGGUGUUUUGGACGGCUACGUGCCGUUCUAGUGCCGCAGGGAAGCUGUUAAGCCUGCCGCCUGGGGAGUACGAUCGCAAGAUUGAAACUUAAAGGAAUUGGCGGGGGAGCACCCCAAGGGGUGAAGCUUGCGGUUUAAUUGGAGUCAACGCCGGAAAUCUCACCGGGAG
rnacentral:rRNA from 1 species